GCUGGCAGCCUGGGCUCUUGGAGAUUGUAUCUGGUGCUGGAGAGGACUGGCUCCCACACUCAGUGAGGGAGGAAUUUUACUGACCCAGCAUCCAGAUGAACUUUGGUGAGGAGAGGAGGUGAGGAAGUCAAUGAGCCUUGCUUUUUCACUUGCAAUUAUGGCACUUCCUUUGGAAAUGGUAAGACUAUAUUUUUAGACUUAUAUUAUUAGCUUAAAAUCCUAACAGGCCAGGAAGAUGGCUUCAUGCACGUUAAGGCAUGCAAAAGAUUUAUUUUUCCUAUGAUUUUUCUUCCUCAAGUAGUCAUUAGUAGGAAUUCUUGCUUUUUGUUAACACCUGUAAGAAUAUUAAGAGAGACCAGAAAACAUUUGUUCAUUGGCUGUUACACUAUAUUAGGCACUGACGUAGAUAUUUUAAAGGUUAAAAAUAUAUAACAGUGGCUUUUUAUUCAUUCAUCCAAGCAAUGUUUACUUGAAUGCAUAUCAUGCACCAGGUAUCUGCUAGGGACUGGAUAUUUUAAAAAAUAAUAAAACAAAACAAAACAAACAAACAUAAAAAAAAACUAAGCUAGAUUGGGUCUCCUUUCUUAAGUUGUCUCCAGUCUAAAAUCUUACUGUCUAGGUCAAUGGUUCUCAAUCCAGGGUGAUUUUGCCCCCCAGAGGACAUUUGACAGCGUCUGGAGAAAUAUUCAGUUACCACUACUAGGAGGGAUGAAGGAUGCAAUGGAAUCUAAUGGGUAGAAGCCAGCAAUGCUGCUGAACAUCCAAUAAAAUAUAAUUCAGCCCCCAACAACAAAGAAAUUAUCAGACCCAAAUGUCAGUAGUGUCGAGGCUGAGAAAUCUGGCAAACACACUGGGCUCUUCCUUAAACAGAGAGCACAUUCUCCAUGUGUGAAUUAAACAAAGCAAGCUUUAAAGCCACCUCCUGCCCUCCCUCUACUAGGUGGGUUUGGAAUAUUGAAGGGUCCCUCGCUAGCUGAGGGGAGAAUAAAUGUUAUCCCCACUCCCCACCAUCACUUAGGUGGGGUGUGGUGGUGGCACUAUUCAGCAGAAGGUCAGCAAUUCUAUCAUCAGCCUGGACCAGAGACAUGUCCUGUUAAAUAAGUCUGCCCUAGAUAGAAGACGUGAGAUACUUUUCCUCUUUAUUGGGAGCAGCCAAGCUUCUAUAGUCAAGGCCAGUUAAGCACAAAUCCUUUCAAACAAUAUUACUAAAAGACAGUGACACUCUUAUAAUUUAAACAUAGUAUUUGCACCUAAAUUGAAACUGCCAUAAAAAAAUUCUAUUGUUUUACUUCUGUGUAAGUACUAAAUGCAAAGUCUGAAAGAAGAAGUAACCUUACCAUCAUGCUGUUCAAUGUAGCUACUAGCCACACGCUGCUGUUUAAAUUAGUUGACAUUAAAUAAAAUGUAAAAUUUAUUCUUCAGUUGCACUAGUCACAUUUUAAGUGAUCACUAGCCAUGUGACUACUGGCUACUGAAUCGGACAGUAUGGGUGUAGGACAUUUCUAUUAUCACAGGAAGUUCUAUUGGACAACAUUGUCUUACAAGGCUCCAUUCCAUUGAUUCUUAUCAAUAUGUGCAGUUAUUUCUUUAAAAAAAAGGCUUGUUUCCUAGCAGCUGAGACACUGGGGCAAUGCUUUGCAUUAUCUCAUUAUCAUUGUCUGUUAGAAAGGAACUGACAUGUUCUGCUGGGGGGACCACCUCUCUUCUGAUAUGGAAUUUUUGUGAAGGGUUUAUGUAAUGGACAUGGGAUAACGUGUCAGAUGAUUGAAACUGUGAUUUUCCAGAAGAUGUAACAACGUAAAAUUCAAAUAGGUAACUCGUGUAAGGCAUUUCUGAUCUAAGUCAAGUGUGUAUUGUUAAAUAUUAAUUCCAUUAAAGUAUGUCAGCAGGGAAUUAAGAUAUGUGACCCAAAUAUAUUUCUUUUUAGUAGCUGAGUGUAAUAGAGAAGUAGUGCUCAGUGGAUCUCAACUGAAGAAGAGGUGGGACGAAAGGAAGAGAGGAGGUUCAGAAUAUUUGGAAAAGAUUCUCCAUGUUAUUUUAAUGUACCCAAUCCAGAUAAGUAUAGUUUAGAGAUAUGCAAAGGAUAAUUGAUUUACCUUUUACUGCUGUAUGAUUGGGGGGAGGGGGAAAGGCUGUGAUUUUUAAAAGUCCCUCUCUUUAGAAAUUUUGAUUAAGUACAACUUUGAGUGGGGCCUAGAUAUUCACUCCAUUCUCUCUUGCUGUCUUUCCUUUCAAUGACCUACCUGUCUAUCCCUGCCUACUUGGUUAUUGUUCUAAAUAACCAGGAUGAUCAACUGGCUUUAGAACAAUGGCCUUAGGCAAUUUUUCCCAGUAUCGAGAGUCUCUAGCAAACUUUUGCAAGCUGUAUAUCACAGUCUAUUCUUGGCUGCAUUUUUUUGAUCAGUGCCUGAAGUGAUGGUAUGUGUGCUUACUGAUCAAAGCAAGUGUCUCAUGCACAAAGGGUGCAUUACCCAGAGAGGACACUCAACUGAAGAAAUUCAGGAAUCCAUUUACUACUUUUGCUCAGGCUGAAAGGCACCCCACUUCCACAGAAAGGUUGGCUAUGAGUGUGUGAGCAGGGCUAAAAAUGUACUCCUAAAGGACCCAUUCAUGCCACUGGAUAACUCUUCAGGUAGAGAACCCAGAGUCUGGUAAUAGAGCUUUGCCCAUUUUGUUAAUGUUAGAAAGCCAUUACUAGCCAUAGGGAAACCUAUCAGUCCAUCAGAAUGACACCUUGCUCUGCUGAUAGGUACAAAACUUCAACACUCUUCCCACUUACCCCUAAUUAAGUCUCGAAAUUUCACAUCAUAUUUUCAAGAUAUGUUAGCCCUGAAUGGGUUUAUAUUUUUCACUUUCAUUUUCUCAAGUUGAUUUAGAAUAGCCUUGCUACAUCCUUUGUUUUCCUCAUUCCUGGUUUCACAUUUUCUCCUGGUAGAAAUCUAUUUUUCCCCCGUAAUAUGUAAAAUGUUGAUCAUAUGGAGUUUUUAAAGAAUAAGGUGGAACUCAUAUCAUUGUGUAACCAUCCAGAAUGUACAUUCUUUUUGGUGGCAUGAUGUACAACAUAUGACAUUAGGACAAAAUAUCCUACCACCCCCAGAAAAUGUCCAACCUUAGCUUCCUCCUCUUUUUAAGGACAUAAGAGCCUGGUGGUUGAUGAUGGAAGAGAUGAAACUGUGAAGAGACCGAAGAAGCUAAUCUAUCAAUAGUUAAGAUUCCAUUUCUAAAAGAUCUUACUUUGAGUCUACCUAUGCCUGGGAUGUCAAGAGUAUGAAUUGCCCUAAUGUUCAGGGAGCCAUUUAGGUUUGUCUUCUUAAGGUAUCCAGCUAGAGGGGGACGUGGAUCUUAAAACCAUGUAGAAUUUAGGCUUAACGGAUGCACUAAUACCUUGAAAAGAAGGCAGGAAAGAAUGAAGAAAGAACCCUAGAGUGGCCCUACUGAAGACUGCAUCAUCCAUGAGAAAAUAUUGAGUGUCUGUUAUGGGCCAGGCCCUGUGUAGUACAAUGUGUUGCUGUAACAUGAGAAAAAAAAUGUAUUUGGUCUUCGUCCCAGUUUUUGGCACAGAGCUCCUAAAACCUUUGGAAAUUCCUGAGUGAUAGAGUGUCUUUUGCAUGCUAAUGAGGUGACUAAAGAGGGCCAUGCUUAGAUAGCUUCAGGAUAAGGGUUGGUCACCAGCGAAGCCAACCACCUGAUUAUAGGGUUAGAAUUGUCAGCUCUGCACUGCCUUCCUCCCCACCUCCAGAGAGGGUAGACGGGCUGGAGAUUGAGUUCAAUCAGCAGUGGGAAAUGAUUUAGCAAAUACUGUCUAUGUGGUAAUGAUGCUUUCAUAAAAACUGAAGCAAUAAGGCUAAGAGAGCCUCCUGUUUGGUGACUACAUUGACAUAUUGGGAGGGUGUCUUACCCAGAGAGGGCACGGAAGAGUUGUGUCCUCUCCCUGCCCCAUACCUUGCCCAAUGCAUCACUUCCAUUUGGAUGUUCCUGAAUUGUGUCCUUUAUAAUAAGUGUAAUUGAAAGUAGAUAGCUUUUCUGAAUCUGUCGGUCAUUCUAGCAAACCAUUGAACCUGGGGGGUGGUUGUGGAAACCCCCAAAUUUGUGGUAGACUGGGCAGAAGUGCAGGUAGCCUGGAGACAUCAUGUACAGCUAGCAUCUAAAGUGAGGGCUUCUUAUGGAACCGAAGCCUUACUGUGUGUGGUCUAGGCUAACUCUGGGUAGCUAGUGUCUGAAUCAAGUUGAAUUGUUGCCACCCAGUUGGCUUCAGAGUUAGGCAGGAAAACAGGGUCUAGAGGCAGGGGACAUAGGCCGAUUCAUACUUCAGCUAUGACAGGAAAUAUCCUCUCCAUAGGGUGUACACUGAGUAAAUGACUGUAACUUUACUUCAUCCUCUCCAUUUACGUAGGGCGUACACCAAGUAACCAAUGGAAUCAUCUAGAGGGUAUUUAAACUCCCGAAAAUUCUGUAACGGGGCCUUUGAGCCCCUAUGCUCAGGCCCACUCCCACUCUGUGGAGUGUGUUUUCAUUUUCAAUAAAAUCCUUCAUUCCUUCCUUGUUUUGUGCGUUUUGACCAAUUCUUCGUUCAAGAUGCCCAGAACCUGGACACAUUCCACUGGUAACAAGAGAAUCAGAGAAUUCGUUGGUAUUGGAAUGACAUAGCUGGGAAUAAAGUGGUGAACAAGAGUAGACAUCUUUCUACUCUCGAAAUUUACAAAUAGUAUCCCAGUGAGUUUGUUGGGUUAUUUAGCACUAUGCUGUAUAUUAUCCAAUCACCCCCUCCAAAUCUACUCAUUCUGGUCUUUAGAGGCUGACCCUCAUGGAACACAUUAAUGGGCACUCUUUUUUCCAUCUGUAAUUAGGUUUGAACAACGGUGUGUCCUGGGAGGAAACUGAAGUGAGGGAGGUGCUGAGGAUUGAUUGGUGAAGACAGAGAGGGUCUUGGUUCUAAUUGAGCUCACAUUCUAAAAGAGAAAAUAGAAAAUAAACACGAAAAACGAAUGGGAUCACUUCAGAAAUUGAAAAGACGGAGCUUCGCUGUUGUUGCCCAGGCUGGAGUGCAAUGGCGUGAUUUCAGCUCACAGCUACCUCUGCCUCCCGGGUUCAAGCAAUUCUCCUGCCUCAGCCUCCCAAGUAGCUGGGAUUACAGAUCAUGAACUGGCAGCCAUGUGGAAAGAAGACUAGACUGCGAAUCACUUAGGAUCCCGCCCUCGGUUUAGUCUAGAAUACUCUGCCAAUCAGCUUUUUGGCCCUAGGUAGGAAAGAGACAAAUGGAAGCAAAAUAGCAAAAUGGUGAAGAGGAGGGUUCUAGAGGCAGACAGCCCUGCAGUCCUGAGUCCUGAGUCCACCGUUUAACAGAGUGACUUUGCUCAGCCUGUGGAUUAUAAUGAAACUUGCCUGUUAUAGGAUCCAAUUUUUUAGGUGGUAGAAACAUGCUCAAGGAAGAUGCAGCCCCUUCCUCCAGCCUGAGAGAAUAAAGCAUCAUUGGCUUAUGCCAGCCAUGGCAAUCCCAUUCCCCUUUUCUCAUGAUUGAUUUGGGAAUGGGCAAGUGAUCCAGUUCUAACCAAUGAGACCAAAGAAAAAGUCUAUUGGUCAGCUUAUCUCAGAAGAUUUUUGUUUCCUGCUAUUAAGAGAAACAGUAAGUUCCUUCCUGCCUGACUUAAAUGCAAUUGUGUGCAAACAUGUUACUUGGAGCUACAGCAACGAUUCUGUGACCAUGAGGCAAUAAGCCAAGGACAAAGGAUAGAAUAGUGAAAAGACAGAGUAUUCGAUUUUUUUAAUGAUAUCAUUGAACUGCUGGACCAAUGUGGAACCAUCUACUUUUAGUCUUUCAUGAUUUGUGAGAUGAUUAAAAAUUUCUUUUUUUUAGCCAUUAUUUCUUUUCUGUUACUUGCAACUGAAGACAUCCUACAUAAUACAAACACUAUCCAACUUGGAUUGUAAUUUAUCUAUUUUCCGAUCUGUGUGUUCUGUCUUACUGAUUUUUGUAUUCUUAGCACUGAGUAUAAGCCUGCUACUUAGUAAGACUUCAAUAAAUGACUGUUUAAAAAGGUCUUAGAUGAUUUAAAAAAAAUUCUGAAGUUGCUGAAAUAUGAAGACCAGGAACCAAUUUCAGGUUCUAUAAAUUUCUCGCUUCCUUCAUUUCUGGAGUAUUCUUCAUUUCUGUCUGAUUCUACCUUUACUAAAAUGAAUGAAUGAUUGAGGAAUAUGAAAAAUGGCUGGUAUAGUGGCUACUGCUGAGAAGUAUCUCUUGGAAAUUCCCGGAAAUUCCAUCAGUCACAUUCAGACCUAACUCUCUGAUGAUCAAUGUUUCUGAACUCAAACCAGUGUACAUAAUCAGUGGACUAUUUAAAGUGGUAUUAGCCUAGAAUAUCUAGGACACAUGUUUUAUGCAUUCAGUAAGCAUUUGUUUAAUGUCUCUUAUCUACCAGGCACAUUAUUAUGCAUUGGGCAUAUAGAGAUGACCAACCACACGGCCUCAAUCCUUGAAAAGCUUACAGUAACUAAAUAGGGUUAAUGGCCUAAAGAGAGGUAAUUACAAGUCUUACACCCAGUCCUCUUAGCAUAGUAUAGUGCUACCUCUGAGUUAAUUAAGAUAACAAAAUUCCUAGAUAUAUAUCUUUGAUGAAACGGUUUCCAUAAAAACUUUCCAAGCUUGGUCCCUCCCCAGCUGAGUUCAUUUUGGAAGGUGACUUUCUGCUCUCAUCACCUAAGGUCCUUAACAUGUAUCCUGUGUUCUCCGGAGGCACCCCUUGCCCAGAGUGUGCCCUCUGCAUGGUUCCCCCAGAACACCUAUUUCAAAGGAAAAGAAGUUUGAUCAUUCAGUGAAGAUUUGGGGGGCCACUUUUCUACGUGGGAGGAUUAUGAGUAUUACCUUUCUCCACUAUGUAUUAGUAAAUAUAAAGAAAACAUAAAUUAACCCCCUUUCUGGCUGGGCACGGUGGCUCACGCCUGUAAUCCCGCCCUAUGGGAAUCCAAAGUGGGUGGAUCACUUGAGGUCAGCAGUUUGAGACCAGCCUGGCCAACAUGGCAAAACCCCGUCUCUACUAAAAUAUAAAAAUUAGCCAGAUGUGGUUGCACACAUCUCUAGUCCCAGCUACUCGGGAGGCUGAGGCACAAGAAUCGCUUGAGCCUGGGAGCAAGGGUUGCAGUGAGCUGAGAUUGUGCCAUUGCCCUCCAGCCUGGGUGACAGAGCAAGACUCUGUCUCAAAAAAAUAAAAUAAAAAAAAUAAUUUAGACCCCAUUCUUCUUAGUUAACCAUGACUUCUGAAGGAGGUCAGAGCUCUUGUGCUCUGCAUCUCUGCUCCAUCAGCCUCAAGGCCACCUUUCAGGUCCACAUGAAAUAUAAGUGCACAAAGGCACCAGACUUAGCAUUAUUAGUUUCCCCCACUGGUCUGAUUUUUGUAGAAAUUGCCAGGAACUGAUUUUCUGCCCUUCCUUCCUAACAGACAAGCCUUCCAGCUCUCCCUGACACAGCUCUUCCUUAUCUCCUACUCUCUGGUCAUCAAGCUUUUAGAGAUGCCCUGGCCUUCUCUAGUUGCCCCAGCUGUAUUUUUUCUUCUUGGGAAUGCAUUGAUUCCCGAGCCUGACUGGGAAUAAAUCUCAGCUCCUCCAUUUAGCAGUUAUGGGAUUCAAGUUACUCUUACUCCCAGGGACUCAGUUUCUGCACCUGUAAAAUGGAGAUUUACCACCUUUCCUUCCAGCAUUACUGAUAUUGUUUGGCUCUGUGUCGCUACCCAAAUCCCAUCUCGAAAAUUAAUCCCUAUAGUCCCCACGUGUUGAGGGUUCUGGUGGGAGGUAAUUGGAUCCUGGGGGCGGCUUUUCCCAUGCUGUUCUCGUGAUAGUGAGUAAGUUCUCACGAGAGCUGACGGUUUUAUAAGUGUUUGACAGUUUCUCCUUCACACGCUCUCUCUUCUGUCUCCUGCCACCAUGUAAGAUGUGCCUGCUUCUCCUCCUCUCAUGAUUGUAAGUCUCCUGAGGCCUCCUCAGCCAUGAAGAACUGUGAGUCAAUUAAACCUCUUUCUUUUAUAAGUUACCCAGUCUUGGGUAUUUCUUUGUAGCAGUGUGAAAACAGACUAAUGCAAUUACCAUAAUGAGCUUUCAAUUGAUGAACUUGCAUCACUGACUCCUCAACACACAGCUGACUUCCUACUGUAAUUGUUCACCAUGCAGACAUUUGUGGAGCCACAAGCAUAACCAUCAUGGUAUUUAAGAUUCAUUCUGUAUCUGGAUUUAUGCACUUUAUGAAAAAUCAUCAAACUGUCCUUAUUAUUGGUGUCUUUUUUCUGUAUAUAUGUUAUGCUUCAAUA